rnacentral:tRNA from 1 species
UGGAGCUCAGUGGCAGAGCAUUUGCCCAGCAAGCACAAGGCCCUGGGUUCGAUCCCCAGCA